rnacentral:rRNA from 1 species
GGUGCUCGAAAGAGAGCCUGGACACAGGUGCUGCAUGGCUGUCGUCAGCUCGUGUCGUGAGAUGUUGGGUUAAGUCCCGCAACGAGCGCAACCCUUGUCAUUAGUUGCCAUCAUUCAGUUGGGCACUCUAAUGAGACUGCCGGUGACAAACCGGAGGAAGGUGGGGAUGACGUCAAGUCCUCAUGGCCCUUAUGGGUAGGGCUUCACACGUCAUACAAUGGUCGGUACAGAGGGUUGCCAAGCCGCGAGGUGGAGCCAAUCCCAGAAAGCCGAUCGUAGUCCGGAUCGGAGUCUGCAACUCGACUCCGUGAAGUCGGAAUCGCUAGUAAUCGCGAAUCAGCAGGUCGCGGUGAAUACGUUCCCGGGCCUUGUACACACCGCCCGUCAAGCCACGGAAGUUGGGGGUACCCGAAGUCGUUUGCCUAACCGCAAGGAGGGCGGCGCCGAAGGUAAACCCGAUGACUGGGGCUAAGUCGUAACAAGGUAGCCGUAGCGGAAGC